rnacentral:tRNA from 1 species
ACUGUGGCUCAGUUGGUAGAGCAGCUGAUUCGUAAUCAGCAGGUCGCCGGUUCAAAUCCGGCCAGU